rnacentral:misc_RNA from 1 species
GAAAUGCGAUAAGUAGUGUGAAUUGCAGAAUUCAGUGAAUCAUCGAAUCUUUGAACGCACAUUGCGCCCCUUGGUAUUCCAUGGGGCAUGCCUGUUCGAGCGUCAUUUGUACCCUCAAGCUUUGCUUGGUGUUGGGCGUCUUGUCGGAAUAUCCGACUCGCCUUAAAUACAUUGGCAGCCGGCACUUUGGCCUAGGAGCGCAGCACAUUUUGCGAUCGUAAGCCGUUGUGACAGCAUCCAUAAGAUUUAUUUUACCACGUUUGACCUCGGAUCGGGUAGGGAUACCCGCUGAACUUAAGC